GGCCUGGUGGUGUAGCUGGAAACAUGUCCUCUUCAUAUCCCCAAUAUUUGUAAUGUUACAAGGAAGUUCCUUGUUCGAAUCAAGGUCAGGCCG